UACGGGGGGGGCAAGCGUUGUUCGGAAUUACUGGGCGUAAAGGGCUCGUAGGCGGCCAACUAAGUCGGACGUGAAAUCCCUCGGCUUAACCGGGGAACUGCGUCCGAUACUGGAUGGCUUGAGUUUGGGAGAGGGAUGCGGAAUUCCAGGUGUAGCGGUGAAAUGCGUAGAUAUCAGGAGGAACACCGGUGGCGAAGGCGGCCCUCUGGACGGAUACUGACGCUGGAGGCGCGAAAGCGUGGGGAUCAAACAGG
rnacentral:rRNA from 1 species